rnacentral:lncRNA from 1 species
AAGGGAACUAGAUCUUCAGGAUGAACAAAGCUAAAGACUGGUGUAAAGCCAUAUUCAUUCUUCCCAUGACAGCUGGAAACUGUAAAAACAUAAUACACCAGAAUUACAUAUCCCAUGAUGGAAGUAUUUCAGGAUUAAUAAUGCUAACGAGUUUAGUAGUCAUGCUGGCUGAAGUAAUGUACAUUUGCAACACGUUUGAGCAAAACAGCAGCACAGCACCUGAGAUAUCCCGACCAUUUCUGAUUGUUUUGAACUGCAUUGGAAUUUUGUCCUGUAUCUCAGUUGGGAUACGAGAACAAAUACGAAAGAGAUAUAUUCUAGAUCCUGAAUAUCACGAUAAAAGCAAAUCCCUUAAAUUGAAAUUCUUAUGUUUGUUUUGUCUUGGAUGCGUAGUGUUUCGUAUCCUCAAGAUAGCUUUCCAUGUUGAAUGUAAAGUGUUUGUCCGUUUCAACGACAGUAUAGAAGGAGCAGUAUUAUAUGAUAUUUCGUGUCUUUCGUUUUAUGUGGUACAAACAUGUUUUAUCUAUCAUUUUUCAAAAUACCAAUUCGUCAAUUCUUUGUUUACCUUUUAUGGUUUGAUCAUAAUUGUUGUCACAAAUAUUUCGUCGUGGACGUACCAUGCUACAAGCAGACAAAAUGUUUCGGACACUUCUCAAAACACAACGUAUCGAUGCACAGAAAGCAACACAUCUCUUUCAAUACGUCAUCUGUUACAUAACGUUAGUCCUUUUACAGAACCCAUGCUCGCUGAGUACCCGCUACUAUGCUUGAUAUUUUUGUCUGGAAUAUGGCCAAGGACAUCGAAUAGGCGAUGUAACAUAGAUGAGGACAACAAUGCUACUUAUGAAACGUCGGAAAUGACAGCAUUGUUACAAAUCCAAACAAGGGUCACGCGUAGAUUAAUUGCACGAAAGUUAGUGUUAACAUAUUGUAUUAUACUAAUAAGUGGCCUUAUAUCCUUACCUAGACUAGUUAUUGAAGUACUCAGAUUAUUCGGGGUAAUGGGAGCUGAUUUUUUCUGGAUGUCCUCAAUAACUACCAUACUCGAACAUACUGUGUUACUACUUGCUCUUGUUGUGUGUUUUCAUGCAGUACUACAUCAGUGUAGGCCGCGUAUUGAGAAUUCUUCAUACGACAUAGGAAAUGUUCUGUUGAUUCUUAGCUUUAUAAUAACGACGGGAUACUAUACUCUGUACUUAAUGACUAAAAUACUUCCAGUUGACACAAAAUAUCGAAGUUUAUACAUUAUAAAAGGUAUCUUAAGGAUUAUUGUUCUGUAUCUUCAAACCGUAUAUAUUUUACAGAUGAAAAAAUACACGAUUAUAUGUACAAGAUCACGGUAUUUCUCAGUGAAAUAUGUAUGUCUAUUAAUUGGCCUUAUUAAUUUCGGUUAUUGGAUUUCAGAUACUUUCAUCGUGGUUCAAUAUGUCUACAAAUUUGAAAAUCCAGCAUACUAUAGUAGUAUACAUAUAGAAAACACUGAUACAUUCUGGUUUCCUUUCGUUAUGUUUUACCGCUUUGAAUGUUUUAUGUGCUUUUAUUCGUUAUACAGGUCUUAAUUGGUUUUGGCCUGAAAAUAACACACUUUGAAAACCAAACCAGUAGCUAGUACUGCACAACUGGAUUUGAAAUACGGAUAUUGUCGAAUUGUAAAAAUUUGUUACUAACAGAACUGACUGUUUUUUUUUGUAAUUUUGUAGGGUUUUAAAAGCACGUUUGCUUUUUGUAUGAAGCAUGUUUAUACUUCCAAGAGGACUCUCCAUUAUAAUAAAAAGGAUAACCAU